GAUCCCUUAGCUCAGCGGUAGAGCAUCUGAUUCCAGUAUAACAUGAAUGAGUUGGGCCUAUCGGAUCCAGAAGGUCGUCCGUUCAAUCCGGGCAGGGAUCA